rnacentral:rRNA from 1 species
AUGGACGGCACCACCGACACCACCACCGACGGAGCGCACUCCUCCGAAUCAGAGGCCGACUCCUCCAUGUCGCCCAACGCACAGAAACGCAAGUCGGGGAAGGACGCCGACGCAGAGGGGGCCAGCGCCAGAGCCGACGCGCACCCGGAGCAAGGAGAGCCGACCCGCCCCGCAGACAGCGGGAGGGGCGGCGGGGGGGGAGGGCGGGGGAGCCAUGGGAAGCGGCGAGGGCAGGGGAGGAGGGAGACGGGGCGCAAGGGGACGAAGGGAGAGGAGGGAGAGGAGAGACUGCCAUCUCAUAGUAGUUUCAUCCAUACAAGUUCUGAUAAGUUUCCUUAUUUAGCAUGUGAAAUCCCUUAUUCAACAAUGAUUUUCAGGCCAAAUCAGAUGAUGCAGGUUUUUCCAUUGAAGAGAGCAAAUUAUUCGAGAAAACUGCAAUAUGAGAGGCCUGGUUGGUACCUUCAGAAAGUUGCAUCCUAA